UCGAACGAUGAUCUCCAGCUUGCUGGGGGGAUUAGUGGCGAACGGGUGAGUAACACGUGAGUAACCUGCCCUUGACUCUGGGAUAAGCCUGGGAAACUGGGUCUAAUACUGGAUACGACCUUCCAUCGCAUGGUGGUUGGUGGAAAGCUUUUGUGGUUUUGGAUGGACUCGCGGCCUAUCAGCUUGUUGGUGGGGUAAUGGCCUACCAAGGCGACGACGGGUAGCCGGCCUGAGAGGGUGGACGGCCACACUGGGACUGAGACACGGCCCAGACUCCUACGGGAGGCAGCAGUGGGGAAUAUUGCACAAUGGGCGCAAGCCUGAUGCAGCGACGCCGCGUGAGGGAUGAAGGCCUUCGGGUUGUAAACCUCUUUCAGUAGGGAAGAAGCGAAAGUGACGGUACCUGCAGAAGAAGCGCCGGCUAACUACGUGCCAGCAGCCGCGGUAAUACGUAGGGCGCAAGCGUUAUCCGGAAUUAUUGGGCGUAAAGAGCUCGUAGGCGGUUUGUCGCGUCUGCCGUGAAAGUCCGGGGCUUAACCCCGGAUCUGCGGUGGGUACGGGCAGACUUGAGUGAUGUAGGGGAGACUGGAAUUCCUGGUGUAGCGGUGAAAUGCGCAGAUAUCAGGAGGAACACCGAUGGCGAAGGCAGGUCUCUGGGCAUUAACUGACGCUGAGGAGCGAAAGCAUGGGGAGCGAACAGGAUUAGAUACCCUGGUAGUCCAUGCCGUAAACGUUGGGCACUAGGUGUGGGGGACAUUCCACGUUUUCCGCGCCGUAGCUAACGCAUUAAGUGCCCCGCCUGGGGAGUACGGCCGCAAGGCUAAAACUCAAAGGGAAUUGACGGGGGCCCGCCCAAGCGGCGGAGCAUGCGGAUUAAUUCGAUGCAACGCGAAGAACCUUACCAAGGCUUGACAUGAACCGGGAACGGCG
rnacentral:rRNA from 2 species